ACGCUGGCGGCAGGCCUAACACAUGCAAGUCGAGCGCGCCUUCGGGUGAGCGGCGGACGGGUUAGUAACGCGUGGGAACGUACCCUUCUCUACGGAAUAGCCUUUGGAAACGAAGAGUAAUACCGUAUACGCCCUUUGGGGGAAAGAUUUAUCGGAGAAGGAUCGGCCCGCGUUAGAUUAGAUAGUUGGUGGGGUAACGGCCUACCAAGUCUACGAUCUAUAGCUGGUUUUAGAGGAUGAUCAGCAACACUGGGACUGAGACACGGCCCAGACUCCUACGGGAGGCAGCAGUGGGGAAUCUUAGACAAUGGGCGCAAGCCUGAUCUAGCCAUGCCGCGUGAGUGAUGAAGGCCUUAGGGUCGUAAAGCUCUUUCGCCUGUGAUGAUAAUGACAGUAGCAGGUAAAGAAACCCCGGCUAACUCCGUGCCAGCAGCCGCGGUAAUACGGAGGGGGUUAGCGUUGUUCGGAAUUACUGGGCGUAAAGCGCACGUAGGCGGAUUGGAAAGUUGGGGGUGAAAUCCCGGGGCUCAACCCCGGAACUGCCUCCAAAACUAUCAGUCUAGAGUUCGAGAGAGGUGAGUGGAAUUCCAAGUGUAGAGGUGAAAUUCGUAGAUAUUUGGAGGAACACCAGUGGCGAAGGCGGCUCACUGGCUCGAUACUGACGCUGAGGUGCGAAAGUGUGGGGAGCAAACAGGAUUAGAUACCCUGGUAGUCCACACCGUAAACGAUGAAUGCCAGUCGUCGGGCAGUAUACUGUUCGGUGACACACCUAACGGAUUAAGCAUUCCGCCUGGGGAGUACGGU
rnacentral:rRNA from 1 species